rnacentral:lncRNA from 8 species
AUGGACUGUGGUAUAAUAAUAUUCUCUCUUUUUCUGUUGGCUGCUUCAGGACAACAGCUGCAACAGGACCAGAUUUUAAAGACUAGGAAAGAGAAACAGAGUGUCUCCUUCAGCUGCAAAGUUACUGGUUGGUGUUUGGGUAACCUGGUCCACUGGUACCAGAAGGGAGAGGGUGAACCCUUCUCUCGGAUUUUAUACAAUGAUUUAAAUGCCAAUUCUUUCACCCGUGAUAACGCUCAUCCUCAGACAGCAGAUUUCUCUGCCGUGGGUAAGUCUGACUCCAGUGAGCUGAAGAUCCAGUCAGUUAAAGUGUCCCAUUCUGCCACUUACUACUGUGCCUGCUGGGACUCCUCAACCCACAGUGAGAACUGAUCCACAUAGCCUGUACAAAAACUCUGAUGUUUUAAUGAAACUUUUAAUUCAUGAAAAGGUUUCUGCACCACAGGAAGUGACAUAAUCAGAGGUUAGAUUGGGUAGAUUGUCUUCUUCUUCAAGUCCAAAGCGAAAUGCUAUUCUAAAAGGAAUGAUAAAUACAUAGUUGAGAUGUCUUGCCAAUGAGCAAACCGUGUCAAAGUUGCUUCUUCCUGAUGUGUCCUGUAUUCGGACGUCGUGUGCAGAGCUAGGGCAGAGGUUUGUGUGCAAUUUGGGUAUGUUGUGAAUAUAGAAUGGCUAAAGGGUGUUCUUAUUCAUGGUGGAAGCAUAGUUGAAACGCCCAGUGAUAGGGUGGUCCUGGCUGACGAUACCCAUGGAUUUAAGAUAUUGAAUGUAUUUCAGGUACUUAACACAGAUACUAAGCAGAAUCUACCCCUCAUCCAAAACAGAUUCGCUUUGUGAUCAAGUUUGUAUGGUUUUUGGGUCAAAGAAAAUACACUGCUCAAAAAAAUAAAGGGAACACUUAAACAACACAAUGUAACUCCAAGUCAAUCACACUUCUGUGAAAUCAAACUGUCCACUUAGGAAGCAACACUGAUUGACAAUAAAUUUCACAUGCUGUUGUGCAAAUGGAAUAGACAACAGGUGGAAAUUAUAGGCAAUUAGCAAGACACCCCCAAUAAAGGAGUGGUUCUGCAGGUGGGGACCACAGACCACUUCUCAGUUCCUAUGCUUCCUGGCUGAUGUUUUGGUCACUUUUCAAUGCUGGCGGUGCUUUCACUCUAGUGGUAGCAUGAGACGGAGUCUACAACCCACACAAGUGGCUCAGGUAGUGCAGCUCAUCCAGGAUGGCACAUCAAUGCGAGCUGUGGCAAGAAGGUUUGCUGUGUCUGUCAGCGUAGUGUCCAGAGCAUGGAGGCGCUACCAGGAGACAGGCCAGUACAUCAGGAGACGUGGAGGAGGCUGUAGGAGGGCAACAACCCAGCAGCAGGACCGCUACCUC